UUAAUGAAAUGGUAUUUAUUUAUUUCGUUUUAUCGUGAUACUUUCUGAAAACCUCGUUUUCAUUCGAUUCAAGUACUCUAAACAGGGAGGAUAACGUUAUUGACUUCAGAGUCCAGACCAGAGAAAAGUCGGCGUUCCUGUGUGAAAAUGCCUGGAACACCAUGAGGAUAACUGCUGCAGCCAAAGAAGAAACUCAAGUUUGGUCCAUUUUAGAGGGAGAUAGAAUGGGCAGUGCUCCGAAAGAAAAGAUCAUGCUUCACCUCCCUGAGAUAAAAGCAGCAUCUUCCAGAUAAGCCACCCACCCACCACACAGUCUCCAGGAAUGCUGUUGUUUUUAAUUUCUCCCAGCUGCUCUGGCUCUGUGCCCGCCCGCCUGCCUGUCCACAUCUGCUCCCCAUCAGCCCAUGGUGGAGUCCACACAAACACAGCCCUCGCUUCAAAACACAGGGAUUAGUGCUCUCUGCCUCCGCUCUGGGAUCCGCAAACCGCCCACGCAAAUUCCCCCCGUCAACCUUCACAGCCCUCUGCACGACCCCCACCAGGUGAACUUCUCCCCGCGCCCCCUGUGACCCCCCCCCCCCCCCACCACCCUGCGUGUGCACCGAGGCAGUGUAGCUCAACGGGCUUGUGAAUCCCACAUUGUAGGUUUGAUUCCCAGAUGGGUCACUGCUGCUGCUGAUUCCUUAGUGGGACUGUAUCAGAGCUGUCCAGCCCUGUUCCUAGAGAUGUAACGUCCUGUAGGUUUUCUGUCCGACCCUAACAAAGCACACCUCAUUCAACAGCUAGAGAUCUGCUAUGGAUGCUAUUUGGUAGAAUCAGGUGUGCCAACUUAGGGUUGAAAUGGAAACCUACAGGACGGUAGAUCUCCAGGGACAGGGUUGGGCAGCCCUGGACUAUUUGCAAAAGGACGUGAAGCUCUGUGACUGGCUCUAAGACCAGCAAAAAAUGAGCCUGUGCGUGGACAGAGUGGGCAGAGCGUUCAACGCACCGUGGAAGAUGAAAAUGGUGACAUACUUGUUCAUGGCUGACGUGUCAGCCGGAAAAAAAGUUGCCUUUUUGAUUUUGAAUUAGAACAUUUCAGCAUGCAGGCAGACUUGUCUUCUGCAAAGAAAAGCACCACAUGUUCAAAUAUUGUAAAACUUUGCCUUAAAAAAAUUAUAAAAGACCAGUUGGAAAUUGUGAAUGGAAUUCAAAAUGUCUGCGCAGCACCGUAACAGUUAGAAAAAAAAAAGUAUUAGUACCAACAUUUUUCUUUUGGUUAAGGCGAUUGGAAGGACUCUGCUGGAAAAAAUAACUGAAGCCCUGCUGGGUAACAGACACCCACCUAUCCUACUUCUGAUGUAAUCCAGGCUUCAGGUCUUCUUCAGCUGUUUAAACUGCCGAGUCUUCACAUUUACUAAUGACAGGGUGGAAGAGAGGCUGGAGAAUGUGGAGCGGUACAAGUUUCAAAGCCGGCCCCUCCUCUACUCGCAAAAGAAUCACUGAGAUACUACACAGACAUCAGCCCCUUAAGAAAUAUGUUAAGCAGGAGCAAAUGCUGGGAUAUUUUCACAGAAUGCUUUUUUAAAAAAAAAAAUUUUUUAAACUGCGACCUGAACGGAACCAAAAGACGAGCUGGGCUGUGUGUCGGACAGUCAACGAGGGACAGUUUUCUGAGGAAGGGCAAGUUACUCGAAAGUGCUUCGGGAUGACAUGGCAGACCAGCUGCAGCUGGAGAGAGCGCUUGGCAGGACUGUUCAGAGCCCCUACAGAUGGAUAGCAGACCUAACCCUGACCUACAUCCAGGAACAGGAGCGUUCCUGCCUGAUUAGCAGAAGAAUAGGCUGCUGGGUGGUGUGGCUGGCUGUCUCCGAUUCGGAUGGGAAGCCCUCUGCCAGCAUCACAUGAGGCCGGCCCAUUUGAGCAGACUGUGGAGACAGUUGUCUGACAGACUGCCAGGGAGCCGGAGAA